rnacentral:rRNA from 1 species
CAUUCCAGGAGACUUGUACACGGUCCAGCGCGGAUAAUACUUCUCUAGAUUACAACUCGGACAGCCAAAGACUGCCAGAUUUUAAAUGUGAGCUUUUCCCGCUUCACUCGCAGUUACUAGGGGAAUCCUUGUUAGUUUCUUUUCCUNUCUUGGUUCNANUAGAGGAAGUAAAAGUCGUAACAAGGUUUCCGUAGGUGAACCUGCGGAAGGAUCAUUAUUGAAUAAACCUGAUGUGAUUGUUAGCUGGCUUUUCGAAGCAUGUGCUCAUCCGUCAUCUUUAUCUCUCCACCUGUGCACAUUUUGUAGUCUUGGAUACCUCUCGAGGAAACUCGGAUUUUAGAAUCGCUGUGCUGUACAAGUCGGCUUUUCUUUCAUUUCCAAGACUAUGUUUUUAUAUACACCAAAGUAUGUUUAUAGAAUGUCAUCAAUGGGAACUUGUUUCCUAUAAAAUUAUACAACUUUCAGCAACGGAUCUCUUGGCUCUCGCAUCGAUGAAGAACGCAGCGAAAUGCGAUAAGUAAUGUGAAUUGCAGAAUUCAGUGAAUCAUCGAAUCUUUGAACGCACCUUGCGCUCCUUGGUAUUCCGAGGAGCAUGCCUGUUUGAGUGUCAUUAAAUUCUCAACCUUCCAACUUUUAUUAGCUUGGUUAGGCUUGGAUGUGGGGGUUGCGGGCUUCAUUAAUGAGGUCGGCUCUCCUUAAAUGCAUUAGCGGAACUUUUGUGGACCGUCUAUUGGUGUGAUAAUUAUCUACGCCGUGGAUGUGAAGCAGCUUUAUGAAGUUCUGCUUCUAACCGUCCAUUGACUUGGACAAUUUUGAUAAUUUGACCUCAAAUCAGGUAGGACUACCCGCUGAACUUAAGCAUAUCAAUAAGCGGAGGAAAAGAAACUAACAAGGAUUCCCCUAGUAACUGCGAGUGAAGCGGGAAAAGCUCAAAUUUAAAAUCUGGCAGUCUUUGGCUGUCCGAGUUGUAAUCUAGAGAAGUAUUAUCCGCGCUGGACCGUGUACAAGUCUCCUGGAAUGGAGCGUCAUAGAGGG